rnacentral:misc_RNA from 1 species
AAAAUAUACAAAAAGGUGGGAGAGAAAACAAAUGAAAUAAAAAUUAGAGAAACAAAUGAAAACAGCCUCUCAACUGCUACCUUUAUCUUCAUAAAAAGUUAAAAACAAAAAUCGAAUGAAAAAGGAGGAUUAGACUGCAGCAGAUUGUAUAUCCUUAUCAAACAAAACGUUCCCCUACCACCUUUCCACCACAUCACCCUAAGGUAAGCAAGCAAUACCAACUAUUUUCUUCAUUUCUUUCCUUUUUCUUCAAGUACAUCUCUCCCCCCCUUCUCCAAUUUCCAGGUUGUUGAAAGAUGUAGUUGA